rnacentral:rRNA from 1 species
CCCUACGGGGUGCGGCCUGGAGAGGCAACUGCCCAGUACAUCAAGAAUGUGCUGGACCGCAUUGUGCUGCCCACCGCCAUUUUCCUCGCGUUCCUUGCGAUUGUUCCCAACCUUGCCAUGCGGAACCAGCAGAUUCCAGCAUUCGCGUUUGGCGGGACUUCUCUGCUUAUUAUUAUUGGCGUUGCACUUGAAACUGUUCAGGAAAUAGAGGCGUACAUGAUGAUGCGUCACUACAAGGGGUUCAUGAAGUAAUGAUGCAUCACCCGCGUAUCGUUCUGUUGGGUUUGCCGGGGUCGGGAAAGGGCACUCAGGCGGCUUUUCUUGCCGGGAAGUUCAGGGUGCCCACGUUUUCGAGUGGCGAGUAUUUCCGGAAUCUGCGGCGGGGGAGC